ACUAUUUUGGCAGAAAAAUGUAAUGAUUUUAGAAAUCAUAAAUAUAUAAAAUUUUUAUAUAUAUAGUA
rnacentral:tRNA from 1 species